AAACACAUGGAGCAACUGCGAAAAGAAAGGGCUGAGGAUAUACUAAAAAUGUCUGGUAUGUAAUGACAUUUAAUUCAAAGUCAAUGUAAAUUCUUUAUUUGUAUGUGGUUGUGUGGGACAGCCAUAUGUUCAGUUCAUGCCUAUGAUUUCAGAGUUCAACAAAGCCAACAACAGCUUCAUGUGUGCCGCUGAUAAAGAACCUGGAUGUAGCCCAAAGACUGACUGGGAAUGAAGACUAAAGAGUUCAACGGAGUAAAGAACACAAACUGGAAGUGCAGUCUUUGUUGUUGAAAAUGUAGGCUAUACCCCAUCCACACUGAAGAGGCUCUGAAAUGUACAUCAACCAGGGUUAAUGUAUGCUAUACCCCAUCCACACUGAAGAGGCUCUGAAAUGUACAUCAACCAGGGUUAAUGUAUGCUAUACCCCAUCCACACUGAAGAGGCUCUGAAAUGUACAUCAACCAGGGUUAACGUAUGCUAUACCCCAUCCACACUGAAGAGGCUCUGAAAUGUACAUCAACCAGGGUUAAUGUAUGCUAUACCCCAUCCACACUGAAGAGGCUCUGAAAUGUACAUCAACCAGGGUUAAUGUAUGCUAUACCCCAUCCACACUGAAGAGGCUCUGAAAUGUACAUCAACCAGGGUUAAUGUAUGCUAUACCCCAUCCACACUGAAGAGGCUCUGAAAUGUACAUCAACCAGGGCUAAUGUAUGCUAUACCCCAUCCACACUGAAGAGGCUCUGAAAUGUACAUCAACCAGGGUUAAUGUAUGCUAUACCCCAUCCACACUGAAGAGGCUCUGAAAUGUACAUCAACCAGGGUUAAUGUAUGCUAUACCCCAUCCACACUGAAGAGGCUCUGAAAUGUACAUCAACCAGGGUUAAUGUAUGCUAUACCCCAUCCACACUGAAGAGGCUCUGAAAUGUACAUCAACCAGGGUUAAUGUAGGCUAUACCCCAUCCACACUGAAGAGGCUCUGAAAUGUACAUCAACCAGGGUUAAUGUAUGCUAUACCCCAUCCACACUGAAGAGGCUCUGAAAUGUACAUCAACCAGGGUUAAUGUAUGCUAUACCCCAUCCACACUGAAGAGGCUCUGAAAUGUACAUCAACCAGGGUUAAUGUAUGCUAUACCCCAUCCACACUGAAGAGGCUCUGAAAUGUACAUCAACCAGGGUUAAUGUAUGCUAUACCCCAUCCACACUGAAGAGGCUCUGAAAUGUACAUCAACCAGGGUUAAUGUAUGCUAUACCCCAU